UAUGAGAACCUCGUGAUUCUUAGACAGUGGCAGAGCAAACAGAACUGUGACUUAUGUUUCCUAGUUUACAGAGCUGAUUUCAUGGGCUUUCGACAGGAGUAUCUGAGAAUCACAGUUCUUCCUGACGCUGGAGUGUGCGGAGGGCAGAUGUCCCAUAAGCCACGCUCUCUGAUUUGUUUUCAGGGCCCUCCAGUGGCCCCGCCAUGGACGGAAGUCAUUGGAAGAAGGGGAGAUGCCAGAGAAAUCGGCAAAGCAGAGCGAGCGCCUGCCUCAUCUCCCUCCCUGGACUCCAUGGGACAGCUCUGGCCACUCCUGCUGGCCUGAACGCCACCGAGUCCUUGCUUCCCGGCCAGGUCCCCGCUGAAGGGUGGAGUGAGGACACAGCAAGGAGGUGGCUGUCUGUAAGCCAGGAAGAGAACCUCACCAGAACCUGACCCUGCUGACACUCUGAUCUUGGACAUCCAGCCUCUGGAACUGUGAGAAACAGCUUCUGUUGUUGAAGUCACUCAGUCUGUGGUAUUUUGUGAUGACAGCCUGAGAUGACUAGUACACAAAGUAACUUCAUACAAAGCAAGGCCGUAUGAACUGCAGGACAGACACCCUGGUGGCAAUGGGGUGUGGACAGAAGACAGAAGGACCAUGAGCAGAGGACAGAGGACCAAAAAGCAGAAGAGAAAAGUAGGUGAUGGGUCACCAGAAUCCAUCCUGGACUCGAUGGAAGCUGAGGGAGGCUUUAGAGGUCCUCAGCUUCAGAGUCAUGGUGAGGGGUCACUCACAACAUUUCCAGCCUUCAGUCCCUCCAGUCCUAAAUCUUGGAAGUGUGCCCCAUGACAAAGCACAUGUCUUUACAGCAGCGUGGGUUGGUUUUGCUUCAAUGUGGACGGCACGGAGCUGCGGAAGACGCUUGGGUCGGUGGUGUGCCUGGUCCCGAGAAACUUCUUGCUAUGAUCGCAGGAAAGCAGCUCUGGAGGAGCUGCCGGUAUGGAUGCUCCCCAACGUCCUUCCCGCCUCUCCCGGCAACCCCAAACCCUCACUUUGGUGUUGCUAUUUUCUUCUACAAAAUGUGGAGCUUUUCAAAAGACAUUCAAUUUCCUUUGUUGUUAUUCAGUUGCCAUAGUCAAUUAAAAUCUAUCAAUGCCCCUGAAUACAUUUGUGCUAGGUGAAGAAAGAACCUCGGUGCAAUCUCCCGACAUGAUCUCUAUUACCUCAUGUUACUUUAAUAGCUAGAGUAAUAGUUUGUUAUUAAUGGAAUUAAGCAAUUUAGUUCAAGCUUCCCAGAGGUCUUAUAAGACAACUAUUAUAAUUUGUAUUCUCAGAUUUUCCAUUGAGUAGAUGCCAUGUGUUUUACAUUACUUGCUAAUGUUUCGAGAGAUAGCAGUAGUAUAUUUAAUA